UACAGAGGGUGCGAGCGUUGUCCGGAAUCACUGGGCGUAAAGGGCGCGUAGGUGGUGGCUUAAGCGUGCGGUGAAAGCUCGGGCUCAACCCGAGUCGGCCGUGCGAACUGGCUCACUGGAGCAUAGUAGAGGCAGGUGGAAUUCCGGGUGUAGCGGUGGAAUGCGCAGAUAUCAGGAGGAACACCGAUGGCGAAGGCAGGUCUCUGGGCCACUACUGACGCUGGAGAAGCGGAAAGCAUGGGGAGCGAACAGG
rnacentral:rRNA from 1 species